rnacentral:ncRNA from 1 species
GAUCACUGGCUUGGGGCAGCCAAGUGCUCAUAGCGAUGCUGAAAUUUGAUCCUUGAAUGGUGGCUCUUCCUAUCAUUGCAAGGCAGAAUUCACCAAGCACUGUGUUGCUCAUUCACUAACCAGGAACGUGAGCUGGGUUUAGAAAGCUGUGGGCUGGUU